GGCUGGGUAAUCUCAAAAAAGGGCACUGCCAGAACUUCUGCCUUCUGGAGACAGGGAUGGAACUGAGACAAAGGAACAGAAAGUGCUGUGAUCCAACUCCUGGUGCAGGAAGGAAAAGAGAACAGAAAGUGUUGUGAUCUAAUUCCUGGUGCAGGAACGAAAAGUGAAACUUUUCUAUCUAAACUGUUUCUAAAAAACAACACAAGAACACUCACACCCCGACCCCCUCUCUGCCCCCACAGACACWAUUUUAUCAAAGAAAGCACAUCGAGACUGUUUUCAUUUGAAUUCCAACAUUUGAAAGCAAAACUGAGCUCAAGCAUUUUCAAACCCUAAAACAGUGAGUGUGGAAUGGUUAAUCUUUAACAGGAGCAUUUUUCUUCUGCUGCUUGACUGGCUUGAGGUAAAUUGGUGUAAUGGCAUGUCAAAUAAAUCAAUUAACCUGCUUAGGCUAAUGACACCGUCUCAGGACGCAGAGAUGCAGAUUGAGCCAGGUGCUAUUUAAACAAAGGUGUAAACUGAGCUAAAAUCAUUAACUAAGAAAGGCAUUUGCUCUCCAACUCUUCUUUGAACAAACUUUGCUUCCACUGACACAGUUCACAGACACUCCAUGCAGAUGGUUGUAGAGGUUUUAUGUAUUUAGGGUCAAUAUCAGAAACAAAUUCCUGCUCUUYUCCUGUCCUGCAGGUGUGGCAGUGCUGUCCUGACAAAGAGAUGAAUUCCAGAGAGCUGUGACUCUUCAAGCAGUGACCAGAAAGCUCCAUCAUCACUUAUUCAAGCCCUGCUGCUGUGUCAGCUCUUCCCUGGCAGAGCCUCUGAUGGAAGCACUGCAAGCCUCRGGACAGGCAUCACACUCGGAUUCAUCAGCAAAACAGCAGCUCCUGCUCAGCGUGGUGCAAAGUCCACUGAAGAUACUGAGAAUCUCUGCACUGACCUCAGCGACCUUCGGAUCAAAUGCACAAAAAUAUCAGCAUUGUGUGCCAGCAGGGAGACACCAGAGGAAUACAGUUCUCUUCUGAAAAUAAAGGA